UAAAUUUUAACAGAAAAUUAGAGAAAAUCAAAAAUAUUUUAAAAUGGACGGUAAACAAUCUCCGUCGUCCUCUUUUGCCAACAUCAAAUUCGAUAUUAACUUCUUCUUCGUAGUGAGAAACUCUUUAAUCGAAUUUAAAUCUUUCACGAAUCAAACUAUUUUUGACAAAAUCUCAACCUGAAUCUCAUCGUCUUUCUCAAGAUUUAUCAAUUCAUAAAAAUGGCUA
rnacentral:sRNA from 1 species